rnacentral:rRNA from 1 species
AGAGUUUGAUCCUGGCUCAGGACGAACGCUGGCGGCGUGCCUAAUACAUGCAAGUCGAGCGAAUCUUUGGGAGCUUGCUCCCUAGGGUGAGCGGCGGACGGGUGAGUAACACGUGGGCAACCUGCCUGUAAGACUGGGAUAACACCGGGAAACCGGUGCUAAUACCGGAUAAUCCUUUCCCUCUCAUGAGGGAAAGCUGAGAGACGGUUUCGGCUGUCACUUACAGAUGGGCCCGCGGCGCAUUAGCUAGUUGGUGAGGUAACGGCUCACCAAGGCGACGAUGCGUAGCCGACCUGAGAGGGUGAUCGGCCACACUGGGACUGAGACACGGCCCAGACUCCUACGGGAGGCAGCAGUAGGGAAUCUUCCGCAAUGGACGAAAGUCUGACGGAGCAACGCCGCGUGAGCGAUGAAGGCCUUCGGGUCGUAAAGCUCUGUUGUUAGGGAAGAACAAGUAUCGGAGUAACUGCCGGUACCUUGACGGUACCUAACCAGAAAGCCACGGCUAACUACGUGCCAGCAGCCGCGGUAAUACGUAGGUGGCAAGCGUUGUCCGGAAUUAUUGGGCGUAAAGCGCGCGCAGGCGGUCCUUUAAGUCUGAUGUGAAAGCCCACGGCUUAACCGUGGAGGGUCAUUGGAAACUGGGGGACUUGAGUGCAGAAGAGGAAAGCGGAAUUCCACGUGUAGCGGUGAAAUGCGUAGAGAUGUGGAGGAACACCAGUGGCGAAGGCGGCUUUCUGGUCUGUAACUGACGCUGAGGCGCGAAAGCGUGGGGAGCAAACAGGAUUAGAUACCCUGGUAGUCCACGCCGUAAACGAUGAGUGCUAAGUGUUAGAGGGUUUCCGCCCUUUAGUGCUGCAGCUAACGCAUUAAGCACUCCGCCUGGGGAGUACGGCCGCAAGGCUGAAACUCAAAGGAAUUGACGG